AUUGAACGCUGGCGGCAUGCCUUACACAUGCAAGUCGAACGGCAGCGGGGGAGAAGCUUGCUUUUCCUGCCGGCGAGUGGCGAACGGGUGAGUAAUACAUCGGAACGUGCCCUGUAGUGGGGGAUAACUAGUCGAAAGAUUAGCUAAUACCGCAUACGACCUGAGGGUGAAAGUGGGGGACCACAAGGCCUCAUGCUAUAGGAGCGGCCGAUGUCUGAUUAGCUAGUUGGUGGGGUAAGGGCCUACCAAGGCGACGAUCAGUAGCUGGUCUGAGAGGACGAUCAGCCACACUGGGACUGAGACACGGCCCAGACUCCUACGGGAGUCACCAGUGGGGAAUUUUGGACAAUGGGCGAAAGCCUGAUCCAGCAAUGCCGCGUGUGUGAAGAAGGCCUUCGGGUUGUAAAGCACUUUUGUCCGGAAAGAAAUGGCUCUGGUUAAUACCUGGGGUCGAUGACGGUACCGGAAGAAUAAGGACCGGCUAACUACGUGCCAGCCGCCGCCGUAAGAC
rnacentral:rRNA from 1 species